AAGAGCCCAAGUUUAAAAGCUGGCGUUUGUAUUCGGGCGCCCGCAUUGUAAACUCAAGAAGCGUUUUCCGCACCGGACCGGGUUUUAAGUCUUUUGGAAUAGAGCAACAUAGAGGGUGAAAGUCCCGUACUUAAUUCGGAAACCCCGGGGCUUUGUGAUACGCUUUCUAAGAGUCGAGUUGUUUGGGAAUGCAGCUCAAAAUGGGUGGUAAAUGCCAUCUAAGGCUAAAUAUUGAGGAGAGACCGAUAGCGAACAAGUACCGUGAGGGAAAGUUGAAAAGAACUUUGGAAAGAGAGUUAAAAGUACGUGAAAUUGCCGGAAGGGAAGGGUAGGGAGCCAGAUAUGCUUUUAUAGAUUCAGUCUACUCUUUUUUAUAAGACUUCUGACGUAUUUUUAUAUUGAGCAGGCCAGCAUCGGUUUUCGUCGCUAGAUAUAGGUCAUAGGGAAAGUGGCUUUGGCUUUGGUCAAAGUGUUUAUAGCCCUUAACUAAGUACAGCGAUGGGGACCGAGGACAGCAGCGUACCUGAAAGGGCGGGCAAAUUGGGCCCUACCUUUGCGC
rnacentral:rRNA from 1 species